rnacentral:rRNA from 1 species
GUUCGGACUGUAGUCUGNAACCCGACUACACGAAGCUGGAAUCGCUAGUAAUCGCGAAUCAGAAUGUCGCGGUGAAUACGUUCCCGGGUCUUGUACACACCGCCCGUCACACCAUGGGAGUCGGGAAUGCCCGAAGUCAGUGACCCAACCUAUAGGAGGGAGCUGCCGAAGGCAGGUCUGAUAACUGGGGUGAAGUCGUAACAAGGUACC